UCCAUCGAUAGCUCAGUCAGCAGAGCAUGAGACACUUAAUCUCAGGGCUGUGGGUUCGAGGUCCACAUUGGGCAA